rnacentral:lncRNA from 1 species
CACUUCAAAAUCUCCUAAAUCCAUGACUUCUCAAGCCAUUUGAGGCCUGUAUCUACCUCCCUUGGCUUCUAUGUGGUAAAGUAACAUGGUUUCAAGGCUAGACCUUGAAGGAGCUUGGCCCAGACUUUGGUCAAUCUCAAUUUUUACGGCUAUCUCUGGUCAUCUUUGACCUUGCUUCGGCUGAUCAUGGCUAUUCAAGCAUGUUUCUUGACUUAUCCUGCUUAGAUUGACGAUUGUCCAAGCCUUUCUCACCAUCUGUGUUUCUACUGAAACCCUAAUCAUUUAGGUUUCUACUGAUUUCUUUUAUAUCUAUUUAGAUCCAUGUUUGGUCUGACCUCCUAAACGUUUGUCCCAAAGUUACUUCUAAAACUUUACCUUCAAAACUCCUUAUCUUAUUCAAAUUAAGGAAUUUUAAAGUUAUUUCGACGUUUUUCCCAAAGUUUGUUAAUAUUUUUUGCCUGACUUACUUAUUUUUCAUCUUUGUACUCGAUGGAUGAUGAAAACCUUGAAAUUUGGGGUUUAUUCGAGUUCUGAAAUUAUUUGCUAUGUGAUUACUUAUUCUUCAUGCUCUGAAUUCAAUUGAUUUCAAAAACUCUAACUCCUUUGGACCUAUUGGAGCUUCUGAAGCUGCUUCAUUUGUUGCUCGACUAGAUUUGAAACCCUUUUUGUUUCAACCUUUGCUUCUUUAUGUGAUAUUGAUCUCUUGCAGUCAUUGAACUCAACUAUAUUUUUUCAGAAAGGUCUGUUACUGAACCUUUUACAUGCUUCUGAUACUCUCUCUUUUCUCUAUUGCUGAGUUGUUAAAGUCAACCUACGUUACUACCAUGUUUCGAUAGUUCAUUAGCUACUGACUUUGUGUUUGCUAUUACAUGAUGUUUCUCUUUGUCACGAGUUCAGCCUCGCAUGCCUAAUAUUUAUGCAUUCUUUUAUAUGCUAAAUUUUCCUCUAAAAUGACCUUCAAUUGGGGAUUGAUUUCAAAUCACUCCUUGUGUAAUUCUGACUGCACUCGUGUGUUAAUUAAUUGUUUUUCAUAUAUUUUACUGGUUUCCUUUGUUUCACGGAUAGAUUUGAAAAUUUCCCUUUUCAUUUUUGAUUAUACUUUUUUGACUUGGAUAAAGGAAUCCAUGUUACUCUCCUUAAGUCAGUGAUUUUGAGAUCUUUGACUCCUUGAUGUGCUAUGUACUGAUUUUCGAUUGGCUCUACACGUUACAACUUUACUUGGUUUUCUUACCUUAUUUUGUUAAUCGAGUAUUUCAAAGAUUCCUCCCUUAAUUAAAACUCUAUGUAAU